GUUCAUAAGAGUCUACAGAAAUCGAAUAUCAAUAUUAUAUUAGUCUAAUUACAUUGUGUAUAUGCACAAGCCAUCUUAUACAAAGCAGCCGAAAAAUAGAAAACCGAAAAGCUGCAAUGUUUUUUUGUAGAAAACUGCUUUUAUGUUUAUACUGAUUUUCUUUGACUUUUAGAGACACCAUCAAUAUACAAGUUAUAGCCUACUCCAUGGCUGAUCUAUUGCACUACUAGGGCCUACUUUUACUAUUCCAUUGUAUUAGCCUAUUAGCCUCAACAUUACAGACAACAAUGAUUGUUGUCUGAUUGUUGUAAAACAGAUUGAAUCUGUUUUAUUUCCAGACAAAACUGAAGACCAGGAACUGGAACCUGGGAACCUGAAAGAUGAUGUUGUCCUGAAAGACACAAUUCAGGCAGCAGCAUGGUGCCAGUUACAGUCCUUCAAGGACAGCGUUUCUCUCCCAGAGGUCAUUGGGAUGGAAGGUUGGGAGCAGAUGGCAGCAUCAACACAGCGCAAAUCCCAUGACGGCGGGGAUGAGGAAGAAACGUGGAAACCAUUCCAAUUCUCAUUCAGAUUACAUACUGAUAUGAACUGUUCUGUGUGGAGAUGAUGGACAGGAGAAACCUGAAGGUGUUUGCCUCUUUUGAGUCAAACACCUCUCCCCCUCCCCGUGACGCCUGAGCCACACAACUCCAAUGUAGUCUGAUGAUGCAGCAUAAUGGCGGCGCUUGGCAGCUAUGUAUGGAGGUAGAUUUGUGUCUUUAUUAUGCAAUCAAAAAUAAUAGGUUUGAGAGCAAAACUUUCCACACUGCAAUCAAAAAAUAGGUUUGAGAGCAAAACUUUCCACACUGCAAUCAAAAAAUAGAUUUGAGGGCAAAACU
rnacentral:lncRNA from 1 species